GAUGAACGCUGGCGGCGUGCCUAAUACAUGCAAGUCGGGCGAACGGACGAGAAGCUUGCUUCUCUGAUGUUAGCGGCGGACGGGUGAGUAACACGUGGAUAACCUACCUAUAAGACUGGGAUAACUUCGGGAAACCGUAGCUAAUACCGGAUAAUAUUUUGAACCGCAUGGUUCAAAAGUGAAAGACGGUCUUGCUGUCACUUAUAGAUGGAUCCGCGCUGCAUUAGCUAGUUGGUAAGGUAACGGCUUACCAAGGCAACGAUGCAUAGCCGACCUGAGAGGGUGAUCGGCCACACUGGAACUGAGACACGGUCCAGACUCCUACGGGAGGCAGCAGUAGGGAAUCUUCCGAAAUGGGCGAAAGCCUGACGGAGCAACGCCGCGUGAGUGAUGAAGGUCUUCGGAUCGUAAAACUCUGUUAUUAGGGAAGAACAUAUGUGUAAGUAACUGUGCACAUCUUGACGGUACCUAAUCAGAAAGCCACGGCUAACUACGUG
rnacentral:rRNA from 1 species